UACGAAGGGUGCAAGCGUUAUCCGGAAUUAUUGGGCGUAAAGAGCUCGUAGGCGGUUUGUCACGUCUGCUGUAAAAACUGGAGGCUCAACCUCCAGCCUGCAGUGGGUACGGGCAGACUAGAGUGCGGUAGGGGAGAUUGGAAUUCCUGGUGUAGCGGUGGAAUGCGCAGAUAUCAGGAGGAACACCGAUGGCGAAGGCAGAUCUCUGGGCCGUAACUGACGCUGAGGAGCGAAAGCAUGGGGAGCGAACAGG
rnacentral:rRNA from 1 species